CUGUAGGUACAAAAGACGAAGAAUGACAUGUUAGACGUGCGGAGGAGGAGAAGGGAGGAGGAGGAGGAGGAGGAGGAGGGAGGGAAAAGGAGAAAAGAAGAGGGGACAAAUAGAUACUGAGGUGAAAAAACACAGAGGCAGAAAAAGAGAACAAAACCAAGUGGAAAAACUUGACAGGACUUUCUUCUUUUCUUCUCUUUUUUAGCUUUCUAAGCUUGUUUGGCGUGGGAAAUGGCCUGACAUUGAAUGAUGCGUGCCAGGCGGAGUGAAGAGCUAAGGCAGUCGCUGUGUUUCACAGGUUUGGCACUUCACGUUUGGCUCAAGAGGUGAAAUAUUCCUCGAUUUGAGGAGUCUGUCUGCCAAAACUGUGUGGGAAGCAAUAUAACAGGGACUACAAGAGUUUGGAUUUAUAAAGAGCUGCAAUAUAGACGACAAAGACGCGAUUUGCAGACAGCUCUUGACUGUAUGGGAACAUUUUAUUCCUCUAGAAUAGUACAGAUAUUAUUUCAAGCAGUCAUGUCUGGGGAUUUUGAAGCGUUCUCAUGGAAAGUGGAGUUUAUUGCGAAAGCUGAGUUCGAGGACAAGGAACAUCUGAGACAACAGAUAUCACUGACCGAAUAAAAGACUACAUGUCAAUCAGUUCUCUUGAGAAAUGUUGCAUUCUUGGAUGAAUUCAUGAAUUCAUUACUCACCCAGCGGGAGAGAUGGCAGGUGUGACUUGACACACAAAAAGAGAAUAAAUGAUGAAAAUAAAAAGCUUUUAAAGAUGAAGAUGAAUUGAUUUUCUCAAGAUGCACUUGUGGACGGAAAGCACUGCAUAACAUUCUCAAACUGUUUGGAAAAACCCAUCUGGACAAUCUUUGUCUUGUUAGCAAGAAUUUAAUCAAUGAAAAUCUCAGUCACACUUCUUGCUCUUGGCUAAACAACCAGACAACAAUGUGCCAAAAAUGGGGAGAAUCUGAUUGUUGGAUGGAAACGCCUCUUCAUUGGGAACCUAUUAGAGAUUGGAUGCAGCAGCUGAUUGGGCUGCAUUGAAACUGCAUCACCACAACACCUCAGUUUUGUCAAACUACUAGUGUGGACAGACAAAUACGUAACAGCACCAAUUCUUCUUCUUCUUCCCACUUUUUAGAUUUGAUUUAUCUUCUGUUAAAGAUCUGUUAAAGAUGUACUGUGUGUCAAGUGUUUGAAUGAAUGAAAAAGGACCCUUUAGAUGUGUCAUGUUGUCAUAUCCAAAGACAUCAGUACCAAAGUAGCAUCGUUAGUAGUAACUGGUCACCCUUGUUAUUCUUUGGGCAGUAUAUCACAUCAUCUGUGCAAACACAAAGUCCAAGCCAGCAAAAGACACUACAGAGCAGUUAAACUCAGCCGACAUCAGAAACUCACAUCGCCUCUGAUGGCGCUUUAGAGGGAAGAACGGCUCAUUUGACUAAAUACAUAUUUCCUGGAUUCCUUUAGAUGGAGGAUCUAAGAUCUUAAGUAAAGUAAUCAAGACAUUUAAGACGAAUGAGACACACAUUUCUCUCCUAGAAACGUUUGUUGAAUUAAAACUCCAACUCUCAACAUACUCACUCUCUCUCUCUCUCACUCACACACACACACACACACACACACACACACACACACACACACACACACACUGCCUUGGCCCCAUGUUCCUUUCAGUGUGUGCAGCCUCUCGGCUACUGACUGAACCCCCUUUGUUCGGCAGUGACCCUCUUAAGCGCUGGUUGAAGCCUGCAGCCAUUCCACUUUGGAUUUGGACCCUAUCGCGUGUCACACGGCUAAGUCGACCAGGACCGGGCCUCUUCACCCAGACACACGGCAACAAGUAUCCAUUCACGUUACAAUGAAUGCUGCAGCAGGGUUUAAGUUAAAAUGACUAGAUCACCAAAAUUAUGAGCAACCAUAGAGGCGUCCAGAGGUGAAGGCUGCAUCACCUCAGUCAAAGGUUUGCUUGUUUUGUAAGUAUUUUAACAAGCACUUUACUGCACUGUUACAAUGAGUUUUACAGUAAUCUUUUCUUCAGUAAUGCCAAAAUAAAUCUGAAUAGUGAAGUCUGACUUAUGAAUGUAUUGUUCUAAAUCAAAAACAAUAGGAAGUAAAUAAAUGUAAAUAAAUGUC